CUCUGGCUAUAGGAAAUUGUUAGUGGCAGACGGGUGAGUAAUGCGUAGGAAUCUACCUAGUAGUACGGAAUAGCCAUCAGAAAUGGUGGGUAAUACUGUAUAAUCCCCGAGGGGGAAAGAUUUAUCGCUAUUAGAUGAGCCUACGUUAGAUUAGCUAGUUGGUGAGGUAAUGGCUUACCAAGGCUAUGAUCUAUAGCUGGUCUGAGAGGACGAUCAGCCACACUGGAACUGAGAUACGGUCCAGACUCCUACGGGAGGCAGCAGUGGGGAAUAUUGGACAAUGGGCGAAAGCCUGAUCCAGCUAUGCCGCGUGAGUGAAGAAGGCCUUCGGGUUGUAAACUCUUUCAAUAGGGAAGAUAAUGAC
rnacentral:rRNA from 1 species